rnacentral:rRNA from 1 species
UACGUAGGGGCCGAGCGUUGUCCGGAGUUAUUGGGCGUAAAGCGCGCGCAGGCGGCUUCGCGCGCCCCGACGUGAAAGCCCCCGGCUUAACCGGGGAGAGUCGUUGGGGACGGCGGAGCUUGAGGGCGGGAGAGGUCGGUGGAAUUCCCGGUGUAGUGGUGAAAUGCGUAGAGAUCGGGAGGAACACCUGUGGCGAAGGCGGCAUCCUGGACCGACAUUGACGCUGAGGCGCGAAAGCCAGGGGAGCAAAGCGGG